GACGAACGCUGGCGGCGUGCCUAAUACAUGCAAGUAGAACGCUGAAGAGAGGAGCUUGCUCUUCUUGGAUGAGUUGCGAACGGGUGAGUAACGCGUAGGUAACCUGCCUUGUAGCGGGGGAUAACUAUUGGAAACGAUAGCUAAUACCGCAUAACAAUAGAUGACACAUGUCAUUUAUUUGAAAGGGGCAAUUGCUCCACUACAAGAUGGACCUGCGUUGUAUUAGCUAGUAGGUGAGGUAAUGGCUCACCUAGGCGACGAUACAUAGCCGACCUGAGAGGGUGAUCGGCCACACUGGGACUGAGACACGGCCCAGACUCCUACGGGAGGCAGCAGUAGGGAAUCUUCGGCAAUGGGGGCAACCCUGACCGAGCAACGCCGCGGGAGUGAAGAAGGUUGUCGGAUCGUAAAGCUCUGUUGUAAGCCAAGAACGGGUGUGAGAGUGGAAAGUUCACACUGUGACGGUAGCUUACCAGAAAGGGACGGCUAACUACGUG
rnacentral:rRNA from 1 species